CGAGCCUAGUGAUAGCUGGUUACUCAAGAAAAGGAUUUAAGUCCAACCUAAAGUUCUCCUUUUACACCAAAAAUACCCUGACUUUAGAGCAAUUCAAAUAAGGUACAGCCUAUUUGAAACAGGAUACAACCUCACCUGAUGGCUAAAAUUUAUUCUCUAACUUCAAGUUGGCCUAAAAGCAGCCAUCUUUUAAAAAGCGUCACAGCUUAGUCUUAAAAUAACUUCAAUUCCAUGCCUAUAUUUUAACCCUCUAUUAGUACUGAGUAAUUCUAUAUCAUUAUAGAAGAUUUUAUGUUGAAACUAGUAACAAGAAGUUAGACCUUCUCUUAAAUGCAAGCAUAAAUCAGAAAGGACCGACCACUGAUAAUUAACGCCAAUGAUCACCAAUCAGCAACUUCCAAAGAAAAAUCUUAUUGUCAUCAGCGUUAACCUAACACAAGAGCAUUUCAAGAAAGAUUUAAAGAAAGAGAAGGAACUCGGCAAACAUUAACCCCGCCUGUUUACCAAAAACAUCGCCUCUUGAACAAAAAUAAGAGGUCCAGCCUGCCCAGUGACUAAUGUUCAACGGCCGCGGUAUCCUAACCGUGCGAAGGUAGCGUAAUCACUUGUUCUUUAAAUGAGGACUAGUAUGAACGGCACCACGAGGGUUAUACUGUCUCCUCUCUCUAAUCAGUGAAACUAAUCCCCCCGUGAAGAAGCGGGGAUAAAACUAUAAGACGAGAAGACCCUAUGGAGCUUUAAACUUAUCCUCAAACGCCAAAAUCACACAUCAAGUUUCAAACUUCACCAUAUGAACUCUCGCGCCAUGAGGACAAUUUUAGGUUGGGGUGACCAUGGAGUAUAAAAUAACCUCCAUGCUGAAUAGGCCUCCAAGCCUCGAGCCAAGGGCUACGACCCAUCGCACUAAAAUACUAACAUCCAUUGAUCCAAUGUACUUUGAUCAACGAACCAAGUUACCCUAGGGAUAACAGCGCAAUCUACUUCAAGAGUUCUUAUCGACAAGUGGGUUUACGACCUCGAUGUUGGAUCAGGGUGUCCCAGUGGUGCAGCCGCUACUGAUGGUUCGUUUGUUCAACGAUUAAAACCCU
rnacentral:rRNA from 1 species